CUAAGCUAGGGUGGUAUGGCUAGUUAACUCCUAAAUGACAGUGAAUUGAGCAGUGAAAUUGCGGGGGAAUGAUCUAUACUGGGGUAGGCAACCUACGGCACUCGAGGCUGCUAGAGCCAAAUGCACUCUGGCCUAUCAGCAGUCCCAGUAAAACUUCAGAUAUCUGCUAAUACGAAGAGGUGGUGAAGGACAAUCCUCAAUUUAUGCAUUGCAGCAUAUAGAGGAAGUGAUCUCAGAUUACUUCCUCCCAGCACUUGUGAAUGGGAAUCCACACUGUAGUAGAGCAGCCCUCGAC